UAGUAGGUCUAAUCAGUACGAGACGAACUGCAGGUUCAAACACUGGGUGUCUGUGCUUGGCUGAAGAGCCAAUGGUACGAAGCUCCCAUCUGUGGGAUUAUGACUGAACGCCUCAAAGAAUUCCCCUAAAAA
rnacentral:ncRNA from 1 species